rnacentral:tRNA from 1 species
GUGGGUGUAGCUCAGUAGUAGAGCACUUGCCUAGAAUGUUAUGAGAUUGUGGGUUCAAUCCCCAGCACUGUCA